rnacentral:rRNA from 1 species
UACAUGGGGUGCAAACGUUGCUCGGAAUUAUUGGGCGUAAAGCGCGCGUAGGCGGUUACUCAAGUCGGAUGUGAAAGCCCUCGGCUUAACUGAGGAAGUGCACCCGAAACUGAGUAGCUAGAGUACCAAAGAGGGUCGCGGAAUUCCAGGUGUAGUGGUGAAAUACGUAGAUAUCUGGAGGAACACCGGUGGCGAAGGCGGCGACCUGGUCCUAUACUGACACUCAUACACGAAAGCGUGGGGAUCAAACAGG